UCACUCAUCUUCCUCCAAGCAUGGAUUCCUUGCUUUUAAAAGACCUUCAAGCUUAGAACAAAAUUUCUAUGAGCCCUUCAAGCUUGGAAUAAAGUUUCUACAAUCCCUUCAAGCUUGGAAUCACCACUCCUAAACGCCCUUAAGGUUCACCUCAACUCCCAAAAAGCAUUCUCUCUCCUCUCUCCUCUCUCCUUGUUUGUAAACAACUUCCAAGCCUUCUCACUCUUCCUAAACGCCCACAAAGCCUUCUCUCUCCUCUCUCUUCACUUGUAAAUGUCUAGGAAGCUCUCUUAAAUGCCCACGAAUCUUUCCUAAAC
rnacentral:lncRNA from 1 species